rnacentral:rRNA from 1 species
UACAGAGGGGGCGAGCGUUGUUCGGAAUCACUGGGUGUAAAGGGUGCGUAGGCGGUCAGUUAAGUCUGAUGUGAAAGCCCUCGGCUCAACUGGGGAAUGGCAUUGGAAACUAGCUGGCUAGAGUACCGGAGAGGGAAGCGGAAUUCCUGGUGUAGCGGUGAAAUGCGUAGAUACCAGGAGGAACACCGGUGGCGAAGGCGGUUCUCUGGGCAUUACCUGACGCUGAGGAGCGAAAGUGUGGGGAGCGAACAGG